rnacentral:rRNA from 1 species
UACGUAGGGGCUAGCGUUAUCCGGAAUUACUGGGCGUAAAGGGUGCGUAGGCGGUCUUUCAAGCCAGAAGUGAAAGGCUACGGCUCAACCGUAGUAAGCUUUUGGAACUGUAAGACUUGAGUGCAGGAGAGGAGAGUGGAAUUCCUAGUGUAGCGGUGAAAUGCGUAGAUAUUAGGAGGAACACCAGUAGCGAAGGCGGCUUCCUGGUCUGUAACUGACACUGAGGCGCGAAAGCGUGGGGAGCAAACAGGAUUAGAUACCCUGGUAGUCCCUGA